rnacentral:rRNA from 1 species
UGCCAGCCGCCGCGGUAAUACGUAGGGGGCAAGCGUUAUCCGGAUUUACUGGGUGUAAAGGGAGUGUAGACGGAAGUGCAAGUCUGAAGUGAAAGCCCGGGGCUCAACCCCGUGACUGCUUUGGAAACUGUGCUUCUAGAGUGUCGGAGAGGUAAGCGGAAUUCCUAGUGUAGCGGUGAAAUGCGUAGAUAUUAGAAAGAACACCGGUGGCGAAAGCGCUCUACUGGACCAUUACUGACACUCAGAGGCGAAAGCUAGGGUAGCAAAAGGGAUUAGAUA